rnacentral:rRNA from 1 species
CAGGCUUAACACAUGCAAGUCGAACGAUAUAGUGGCAGACGGGUGAGUAACGCGUGGGAACAUGCCUUUCACUAAGGAAUAGCUUUUGGAAACGAAAGGUAAUACCUUAUACGCCCUCAGGGGGAAAGAUUUAUCGGUGAAAGAUUGGCCCGCGUUAGAUUAGCUAGUUGGUAAGGUAAGAGCUUACCAAGGCUACGAUCUAUAGCUGGUCUGAGAGGACGACCAGCCACACUGGGACUGAGACACGGCCC